rnacentral:tRNA from 1 species
ACGGGAGGAUGUCGGGCCGUGAAACGGGGCUCCCUGGCGCGCUCCAAGGAGUGGCUGAGGGCCCCUCCAGAGGAGGGGUGGCAAGAUGGUUGGUGGUCGGUCGACGUGCAAAGAGAGGAGGGUUUGGGGAGUGUGGGUAGAAUGAGCCAUUGAGGGAGGGAAUGUGAAAAGCAUGCAGGUGGGCUGUGCCCGGGCGGGCGCGGGCGGUGCUUGGAAGCAUUGCUUGAAGUGACGUGGGUGAGCGAAGCGCCGUCCGGGUCAGGGUCAUGGAGAGAAAAAGGGCAAGGACAACGUGGGGCCGGGCAAGGGACCUGGGCCACGUCGGGCGGCAGGGGGCGGGCAGCCGGGUGGAGCGUGGCGGCCAGGGCUGGCGGCCACGGGCGAGAGACCAGAACAGACAAGUCGGCAGGGGGAAGCGGGGCGGGGCAGGAGGGCAGGGCCCCCGGCGUGAGCACAGCUGGUUCAGGCUCAGGCCCUGUGGCUUGAGCGCGUGCGCGAGGGCGCCGCCAGCCCGCAGCCCGCAGCCCGCAGCGGCGUGUAAGGCGGGACAGACAGGGCGUCGUCCAGGCCCGGGUGCGGAGAGCCCGCGUUGGGCGGGCCAAAAGGUGGGCGUGUCAGGAGUGGGAUUCGAACCCACGCCUCCAGGGGAGACUGCGACCUGAACGCAGCGCCUUAGACCGCUCGGCCAUCCUGACGGCGGGCCUGGGCGCGCCGCCGCUCGCCUGGCUGGGACCCGGCGCCGACCCCGGAGCUGGCUGGCGGCCGUGUGGGUGCGCGACGGACGGACGGACGGACGGACGGACGGGACUCGCGUCCCGGUCGACGAGGCCAACGGCCCGCCGACUGACUCUGCUGGCGCCGCCGCCCUCGCCGCGGUCCUCGCCGCCGCCCCCUCCCCCUUCCCGGGGCGCGCACCCUGCUGCGGGCGUCCGGCCCCCCGCCGCCCCCGCCGCCCCCGCCGCCCGCCGCGGCCCAUCCCCGGCGCGGGGCCUCCGGCUCGCUCGCGCAGCCCUGCUUGCCGUGUCGGGCGUCUUCUCCCGCCGCCAUCCCCGCGCGGCUGGGCGGGGGCGGCGGCGGGUCCGGGGGCGCGACGCUCCGAGUCGGGCCGGGGGACUGCUGUGCGCGCUGACGCGGCGGCCGGGGGGUCGGGCCG